rnacentral:rRNA from 1 species
GACGAACGCUGGCGGCGUGCUUAACACAUGCAAGUCGAACGGAAAGGCCCUGCUUUGUGGGGUGCUCGAGUGGUGAACGGGUGAGUAACACGUGAGUAACCUGCCCUUGACUUUGGGAUAACUUCAGGAAACUGGGGCUAAUACCGGAUAGGAGCUCCUGCUGCAUGGUGGGGGUUGGAAAGUUUCGGCGGUUGGGGAUGGACUCGCGGCUUAUCAGCUUGUUGGUGGGGUAGUGGCUUACCAAGGCUUUGACGGGUAGCCGGCCUGAGAGGGUGACCGGCCACAUUGGGACUGAGAUACGGCCCAGACUCCUACGGGAGGCAGCAGUGGGGAAUAUUGCACAAUGGGCGGAAGCCUGAUGCAGCAACGCCGCGUGCGGGAUGACGGCCUUCGGGUUGUAAACCGCUUUCGCCUGUGACGAAGCGUGAGUGACGGUAAUGGGUAAAGAAGCACCGGCUAACUACGUG